GACGAACGCUGGCGGCGUGCUUAACACAUGCAAGUCGAACGGAAAGGCCCUGCUUUUGUGGGGUGCUCGAGUGGCGAACGGGUGAGUAACACGUGAGUAACCUGCCCUUUACUUUGGGAUAACUUCAGGAAACUGGGGCUAAUACCGGAUAGGAGCUCCUGCUGCAUGGUGGGGGUUGGAAAGUUUCGGCGGUUGGGGAUGGACUCGCGGCUUAUCAGCUUGUUGGUGGGGUAGUGGCUUACCAAGGCUUUGACGGGUAGCCGGCCUGGGAGGGUGACCGGCCACAUUGGGACUGAGAUACGGCCCAGACUGCUACGGGAGGCAGCAGGGGGGAAUAUUGCACAGUGGGCGGAAGCCUGAUGCAGCAGCGCCGCGUGCGGGAUGACGGCCUUCGGGUUGUAAACCGCUUUCGCCUGUGACGAAGCGUGAGUGACGGUAAUGGGUAAAGAAGCACCGGCUAACUACGUG
rnacentral:rRNA from 1 species